rnacentral:rRNA from 1 species
UACGUAGGGGGCAAGCGUUGUCCGGAUUCAUUGGGCUUAAAGCGCGUGUAGGCGGCCAGGUAGGUCUGGUGUGAAAACUCGAGGCUCAACCUCGAGAGGUCAUCGGAAACCAUCUGGCUAGAGUCCGGAAGAGGAGAGUGGAAUUCCCGGUGUAGCGGUGAAAUGCGCAGAUAUCGGGAAGAACACCUAUGGCGAAGGCAGCUCUCUGGGACGGUACUGACGCUGAGACGCGAAAGCGUGGGGAGCGAACAGG